rnacentral:rRNA from 1 species
AACGAACGCUGGCGGCAUGCCUAACACAUGCAAGUCGAACGGGAUCCUGGUUUCGGCCAGGUGAGAGUGGCGGACGGGUGAGUAACGCGUGGGAACCUGCCCAGUGGUGGGGGAUAACUGCGGGAAACUGCAGCUAAUACCGCAUGAGCCCGCAAGGGGAAAGAUUGAUCGCCAUUGGAGGGGCCCGCGUUCGAUUAGGUAGUUGGUGAGGUAACGGCUCACCAAGCCUACGAUCGAUAGCUGGUCUGAGAGGAUGAUCAGCCACACUGGGACUGAGAUACGGCCCAGACUCCUACGGGAGGCAGCAGUGGGGAAUAUUGGACAAUGGGCGAAAGCCUGAUCCAGCGACGCCGCGUGGGUGAAGAAGGCCUGCGGGUUGUAAAGCCCUUUCAGUGGGGAAGAAAAGCCUCGACCUAACACGUCGGGUCUUGACGUAACCCAUAGAAGAAGCACCGGCUAACUCUGUGCCAGCCGCCGCUGUAA